GGUGGGAGGUAGUGUGCUGUGUGGGGACGAGCGUUUGGGGAGAGUAGAAGAGCGUUAGGUACCGUUAACUCGAUGCCUCUUGAAUCACUCCCCACCAGCGGCCGAGUUCCACCACUAAACCUCUGCGGCCGCCUAGACGGCGGAUCCGGUCAAUGCCGGGGCCGGGAGAAGUCUCAAGGAGGAAAGCUAGGGGCAAUAGUCGAUCAAAUUUGAACUUUGGUUACCUAGCUAGUGUGCGGGUGACAAUCAAGUAGGGUACCACCGUGGUGACCUGGUCCGCCGUGGCGUACGGUGUAACCUUGUUCUAGUCGCUCUGCGGCGGUGUCGGUGUCUCUUAUCGCCGUCCCUAGUGCCUCGGCGGCUGUAUCGUCUACGACUAGGUCCGCUUCGUUAUACGCGAGGACCUAGGCGUGGAAGACAGUGCAGUUCCUAAAGCCACGUCUUCCACACGAGCGAGCAGCCGUUCAAAUUGUUCAAGUUCUCCCUAAACCAGCUCCUCUAUCCGAAACCACCCUACGACCCCUAGUUCUACGACCGUUUCAACUUAAACUUUAAGUCGCGCACCGAUUACCUUUCUCAGCUCCAGCUCAGGUCGUGUGACUUUUAUCUGCUCGUUUCCCAAGACGUCUAGGUCCUGGUACUACAGGUCUUCCAUAAGUCAGACGGUACGCCGUGGUCUAGCUAUACGGGGCUAUGCUGGCUCGGCAGACGUCGGACGUUUCUCAAGUACGCUCGAAGACGGAUAAACUCGUUUCCGCGCGUGUCAGAUUUCCGGCGCCUCCGAAUAGAGGACUCUCUACUGUAGUUACGUCUAAGGUCGUUCCAGGUCUAUCUAACGAAGUUCUAUCGGAAACAAUAAAAACAACAACCGGUGGACAACCGAGGUAGGUGAUUCGUACUGAUGUAGUGGUAUCUAAAGACCCGGCGGGAGUUGCUAUAGAGCGUUUAAUUUCUUAAAUUAACCACACGAAUACAUGAGCUCGUAAACUUGUCUCGACAACCCUUCAACUUUUGACUAUAGGCGUUGGCCUUGUAGUGACAUGUAGAACAACCGACGGUAGACAAAGAAGUCCAUAAGAUGAACCUGUUAGAACUAGAACCAGGUGAAAGGUUCUGUUUUCUGGUAGAUGGUUCCUAAUCAGAAAAACUGAUGCUCAGCCAAUUCUUCUACUAUCUUCACUAGUGAUCGUUGCACCUACCUCUAUGUAGUAAGCGACCUCGAUCAAAAUCCGCGCGAGUUCUACAAACGAUGAGGUCUCAGGUGAUGCUUUCGGUGUGAGUGGCUCGUCUACAUCGAAGACUGGACGGGGUAGUACGGGGUCCAAAACAACCGUGUUUCGUGGUUGUGUUGGGUCAAUGAGGGUACGAUGCUUCGUCGAAGUGACUUUGACCUGUUCCUCUAAAGAGGUUGGUAGAGGCUAACUUUAUGGGCAGUGAACGUUUGGUGGGCGAAUACUGGUAAAACCUUCUUGUAUUACGUGUGUACUACCUUUUAUAUAGACUUUAAUCCGCUUCAACGCUUCACCGCUACAGAUGGAAUCGCCUGUUUGAAGAACCGAUAUAUAGACUCUUGGCGACAACGACGUCUCGCCACCCUGCUUGACUAACAAAUGACUCCAGCAGCGUGUGUUAAGUACUCUCAAGUUGGCUCGUCUUAAGUGAGAGAGUGUUUGCCCUACGUGGACUCGGGUGACCUCGUCCUGUAGUGUUCUUCUAUGCCCACUUGGUCGGAGAUCAACUCUGUCUGGAAGUUCGUUCAUAUGGACCUACGAGUUGAUUGUUCUCGGAUGGGGCGUCAGGAAAUGUUCAACUGUAGUUGGACCGGCGUGGCAUCAGGUCUACUCGCAGAAAUAAAACGUAAGUCGUAGUUGAAAGUGCGAAACCUAGUAGUAAGACCUAGUCGAGGAGCCGUCCGUUUGAGUUUGAGAGAUGUCCUUUUUAUUUUCUGUUACAACACACUCUGACCCUGACGUAACUGGUAGUUUAUGUUCCUCAACAGACGAAUCCUACACGUCUAUUCCUCAUGGUAGUAACAGACGUCUACGUAUCCUUCUAGCCGCCCGUGCUCGUAAAACAACUCAUCCGACUUUCAUCUAGUCCUUUGUGUUCACUUCUCUACUUGAACCGUGUCGUACCAUAACGUUCAACUGAAGUUGUAACUAGAAAUCAUUACUUUCUGAACAACAGUUCGA
rnacentral:rRNA from 1 species